UGUGUAAGCACAGCAAUGUGUUCAGCUAAGCCGUACUAAUGGUCGAGGGCUUA
rnacentral:rRNA from 1 species